UACGUAGGGGGCAAGCGUUGUCCGGAUUUACUGGGCGUAAAGAGCGUGUAGGCGGCCGCACAGGUCCGUUGUGAAAACUGGAGGCUUAACCUUCAGACGUCGAUGGAAACCGUGCGGCUAGAGUCCGGAAGAGGAGAGUGGAAUUCCUGGUGUAGCGGUGAAAUGCGCAGAUAUCAGGAAGAACACCCGUGGCGAAGGCGGCUCUCUGGGACGGUACUGACGCUGAGACGCGAAAGCGUGGGGAGCGAACAGG
rnacentral:rRNA from 1 species